GACGAACGCUGGAGGCGUGCUUAACACAUGCAAGUCGAACGAUGAAAUGGAGCUUGCUCCAUGGAUUAGUGGCGAACGGGUGAGUAACACGUGAAUAACCUGCACUUAAUUUUGGAAUAACCCAGGGAAACCUGGGCUAAUACCGGAUAAGUAAACCUGUGGCAUCACAUGGUUUUGGAAAGUUCUUCGAUUAAGGAUGGAUUCGCGGCCUAUCAGCUUGUUGGUGAGGUAAUGGCUCACCAAGGCGACGACGGGUAGCCGGCCUGAGAGGGGGGAGGGCCACACUGGGACUGAGACGCGGCACAGACACCUACGGGCGGCAGCGGUGGGGGAUAUUGGGCCAUGGACGAAAGGCUGACGCAGCGACGCCUCGUGAGGGACGAAGGUCUUCGGAGUGUAAACCUCUUUCAGCAGAGACGAAGCGAAAGUGACGGUACCUACAGAAGAAGCACCGGCUAAGUAUGUGCCAGCCGCCGCGGUAA
rnacentral:rRNA from 1 species